rnacentral:rRNA from 1 species
AUUGAACGCUAGCGGCAGGCCUAACACAUGCAAGUCGAGCGGCAGCGGAAAGUAGCUUGCUACUUUGCCGGCGAGCGGCGGACGGGUGAGUAAUGUCUGGGAAACUGCCUGAUGGAGAGGGAUAACUACUGGAAACGGUAGCUAAUACCGCAUAACGUCGCAAGACCAAAGAGGGGGACCUUCGGGCCUCUUGCCAUCAGAUGUGCCCAGAUGGGAUUAGCUAGUAGGUGGGGUAACGGGUCACCUAGGCGACGAUCCCUAGCUGGUCUGAGAGGAUGACCAGCCACACUGGAACUGAGACACGGUCCAGACUCCUACGGGAGGCAACAGUGGGGAAUAUUGCACAAUGGGCGCAAGCCUGAUGCAGCCAUGCCGCGUGUAUGAAGAAGGCCUUCGGGUUGUAAAGUACUUUCAGCGGGGAGGAAGGUGUUGUGGUUAAUAACCACAGCAAUUGACGUUACCCGCAGAAGAAGCACCGGCUAACUCCGUGCCAGCCGCCGCUGUAA